AGUUGUCGCUGGUUCUGUGCACGCUCGUCGUUCUUAAUUUCUCCAUCUAUUUGUGCACCCCUUGUGUGGAUCUGUCCCUCGGGACGAUUGGGGACUGCUUUGCGAAACGACCUUUUGCGGGCUUUCCUCGUGUAGAUCCUCAUUUUCUUCACAUACCACUUGUAAAUAGAGAAGGGUCGGAAUCAUAAAAUAUACAACUUUCAGCAACGGAUCUCUUGGCUCUCGCAUCGAUGAAGAACGCAGCGAAAUGCGAUAAGUAAUGUGAAUUGCAGAAUUCAGUGAAUCAUCGAAUCUUUGAACGCAUCUUGCGCUCCUUGGUAUUCCGAGGAGCAUGCCUGUUUGAGUGUCAUUAAUAUCUCAACCAUGCGCUUCCGCGCAUGGCUUGGACUUGGGGGGAUGAUGCAGGCUCCGACUCCAGUCGGUCUGCUCCCCUGAAAUACAUGAGCGAAAUGAAGGGCCUCUUUGUUGGGUGUGAUAGCUCUAUCUGCAUCCGAGGGGUCGUUUGCGUUCGCCGCUUUGGAUCUCAUUUUGACUUGACCUCAAAUCAGGUAGGACCACCCGCUGAACUUAAGCAUAUC
rnacentral:rRNA from 1 species